GUUAAAUUAAAUUAUUAUUAUUAAUUAAAUAAAUGUUUACCAAAGUUUCAUAGAUAAUCGGCGAUUGCUGUAUGUGAAAGAUAAGCGAAACUAAGUUGAAGUAUAACAUGGAAAUAUAAAUAAUUUGAUAAGCCAUCGCUCAUUGCUGAUAGGCACUUAGUUGGCUGGCAAGGCUGCGUUUUUAGAUCGACUCAAUUUGGCUUUACGUAUACGUCUCGUAAAUAAAGUAUACGUAAGCAAAUUCAUUUGCCUGACAGACCCACGCACUUGGGUAAUUGAAUUCAAUUGAACUGAGUGCGCAGUUAAUAAAUAAAUAAAAAGAGAGAGUGGGGGCGGGGGCUAAGAAAGAACGCUGAGAAUUAACAAUCGAACGGUGACUUUGAUCCACCAAAAGCUCCACAUAAAGUGGAGACCGCAGAGAGAGAGAGAGAGAGAGGAAGCGGGCUACGUCGCGUCGCGUCUCAUCGAAAUGAAAUGGAAUGUUACACACAAAGACAGACUACAAAUACAGCGACGCGCUGCUGCCGCCGGCAGAGUGUAAAACUCAGACUGGGUCACUGUUACGAGCGUAAGAAUAAGCGACCGCAGCGCACAGAAAGAGAACACAGUUCACACAUACAGCCACAUACACACACAUGCUUGCACGACAGAAUCGAGUCAUAAUUAGAAGAGAGAGAGGCAGCGAGAGAGAGAGUGAUGGACAGAUGAAGAGGCGGCGAGAGAGCGGCGACAGCAUUGGGCAAAAAAGUUGACAAUGAACAACUUCGCCCACGCCUGUAUUUGAACCCAAUUUGUUGCUGAUAAGUUUAAAGUUUUUUUUUCUUCCAUUUUUACCCUUUUAUUGUAAAUGGUUAAUUGAAAUUUCGAAUAUUUGAAAUUACAUGUUGAUUAAAAAGUUGAUAUUUUAUUUGCAUAUCUUGAGUGUUAUUGUUAAGUUUAACAUUAUAAAUAGGCAGUACAUAAGGUUUUAUAUAUUGUAAAGUUAUAGUUAGGUAUAUAAUAAAUAUAAUAAUAUACAUAUAUAUGUUUGUUUAUAUGCAAACGAUUUCCAAGUUCCUGUUGAUGCUUUUCUCGUUUCUCGUUUCGUUGUUUUUUGUUUGUUUUUUUAUUUAUUUCAGUUGGUCAAUUUCGAUGCGAUAAGUUUCCAUUUUCGUAAAAAUCACUUGAGCAAACAUGAAACUGCUUUUUGUAUUUUAGGUUUUACGAUUUUUCGUAUUUUGUGUUUUCAUUUUACGAACGAUAUCGAUUGUCGUCUCGAAUAUAUUAUAUUAAUUAACAAAAUAUCAGUUUUUUAAGUAGUAGUUUUGUAAGUAGUGGAAAUCUGUCUGCUUUGUGUCUACGUGCUUUGCAUUUAGUUACAGUGGCGACUGCGGCUUGGGUCUGGAAAUCUCCAGAAGCGGACCCAAAAAAAAAAAAACAA
rnacentral:sRNA from 1 species